rnacentral:rRNA from 1 species
CCGAGCCUACGGGACGCAGCAGUGAGGAAUAUUGGUCAAUGGUCGGGAGACUGAACCAGCCAAGCCGCGUGAGGGAGGAAGGUACAGAGUAUCGUAAACCUCUUUUGUCAGGGAACAAAGGCGGGGACGUGUCCCCGGAUGAGUGUACCUGAAGAAAAAGCAUCGGCUAACUCCGUGCCAGCAGCCGCGGUAAUACGGAGGAUGCGAGCGUUAUUCGGAUUUAUUGGGUUUAAAGGGUGCGCAGGCGGUCUGUUAAGUCAGCGGUCAAAGCCCGGGGCUCAACCCCGGCCCGCCGU